UUUCCGGUUGAUCCUGCCGCCGGCCACCGCUAUCAAGUUCCGACUAAGCCAUGCGAGUCAAGGUAUCGUAAGAUGCCGGCAAACUGCUCAGUAACACGUGGAUAAUCUAACCUUGAGUAAGGGAUAACCUCGGGAAACUGAGGAUAAUACCUUAUAAUUGCUUAAAACUGGAAUGUUUAAGCAAUAAAAGUUCCGACGCUCAAGGAUGAGUCUGCGACCUGUCAGGUAGUAGGUGGUGUAAUGGACCACCUAGCCUCAGACGGGUACGGGCCCUGGGAGGGGUAGCCCGGAGAUGGACUCUGAGACAUUAGUCCAGGCCCUACGGGGCGCAGCAGGCGCGAAAACUGUGCAAUGCGCGAAAGCGCGACACGGGGAGCUUGAGUGUCUUGGCAUAGCCAAGACUUUUCUUAUACCUAAAAAGUAUGAGGAAUAAGUGCUGGGUAAGACGGGUGCCAGCCGCCGCGGUAACACCCGCAGCACAAGUGGUGGUCACUUUUAUUGAGCCUAAAGCGUUCGUAGCCGGUUUUGUAAAUCUUCAAGUAAAGCCUGAAGCUCAACUCCAGAAAGCUUGAAGAGACUGCAAAACUUGAGAUCGGGUGAGGUUAAACGUACUUUCAGGGUAGGGGUAAAAUCCUGUAAUCCCGGAAGGACGACCAGUGGCGAAGGCGUUUAACUAGAACGAAUCUGACGGUGAGGAACGAAGGCUAGGGUAGCAAACCGGAUUAGAUACCCGGGUAGUCCUAGCUGUAAACAUUGCCCACUUGAUGUUGCUUUUCCGAUGAGGGAAGGCAGUGUCGGAGCGAAGGUGUUAAGUGGGUCGCUUGGGAAGUAUGGUCGCAAGACUGAAACUUAAAGGAAUUGGCGGGGGAGCACCGCAACGGGAGGAAUGUGCGGUUUAAUUGGAUUCAACGCCGGA
rnacentral:rRNA from 1 species